GGGAGGACGCGCGGGCGCCAGUCGGGGGACCCUUGCCGGGAGCCGGGCGGAAAAGGACGGGCCCGGAGCUGGCGGGGAGGAGACGGGAAGGAGCGCGGCGCCCGCCCCCACCACCGUUUCGCUGCCCCUUGUGGUGCCCCGCCAGAGGGAGACGCGAGUCGGGCCCUGGCGUCGGGGCAGCGGAGCCGACGUGGCCCGCGGGGUCCCAGCGCCGCGCCCGGGAGCAUUGCAGCCGCCCGCGCCCAGUCCAGCCAAGCCGGGACACUGCCCUGGGGUUCGGCGGUGGAGCUUUUCAGGGUCUCUGCCCCCUGCCCCCCACCCCCCGGUCGCACCCCGGGCACACGUUCUUAGGGCCUCUUCGUCCUGGUGUUUCCGUCUCCGGAGAUACAGAGGCCAUUCCUCUCCGACGACUCCCACCCCUUUGGAACCGGGUUUAGCUAAAGUGACUACAGGGCUGGAUCCGAAAAUGAACACCUCCUGCGCCGGGUCUAUGCAGCCUACUCCUCGCGCGUUAGCGAAGAAAUGCGCUUCGGCCUGGGAGGGCGCGCCAGAGUCCGUCUUCCUGGCCAGUUUUGUGUGGUGGAAAGGAAUGACUGCUGAUGCCGGCCGGGUGACUUGGAUUUUAAUUCUAGCUGUUUUCAGUUAGCUCUGCGCUUCAGCGGACUCCUCUGUUAACGGAAAAGGUUAUCCUAGGGGAGCCUUUCAGCCUCCAAAAUGCGGGAUGCUCUGGCCUCUGCAGUCAGAAUGUGCAUGCAUCAGGGCUUUUGCGGAAGUUUCCUCACGUGAACGCUGCAGGCUGGGACCACCGGGGUAGCCUCUGCGUCCCCUCCCAGGCCCGUAGAAACGCCGCACAUGAGGAAGCGACGAUGUUCUGUAAUUUGCACUGGCACUUUCUUUUUAGACAGAUGAAAACUUUGGGAAAUUCCUAAUUGUGUGUGUGCAUGUUUGUACGUUUGGAAGGGAGUGGAGAACUUUUAAAAGUUUUUCUUCUGGAGUUUUGCAAAUGUUUCCAAAUUGAGGAAUUUUUUUUUUUAACCCUUGGGUCCCCGCCUCCCCACUGCUCUCUCCACCCCAGUGCUGCUCCUCGGCCUUCUUGUGGGUCCCCACACCUCUUUACACAGCCACACGCCCAGGGAGCAGAUGAGGAGGCCACAGCCCAGCCCCUGCGCUCCCAUUUCAAACUAUGAGCCUGAGAUUAAUCAGCCACCUUCUCCUGAGUCCUCAACACCCUUAUUUAGGCUGUUUGUUUCCAUUGCUUAAUUAUUGACUCCAACGAGUGCUACCUUAACCCAUCCUGCCGGCCCGAAGUCUAGUGUGGGGAGCCCGAGAGCGGAGGGCCUGUGCCAUCCCUGGAAGAACCCUUCCUCCAGCUUUAGUCUCUCUCUCUAAGAAAUCCAGCCAUCAAGUGGUUUAAAAGAAAGUGUCUACUUUAGAAGCUUUGGUCGUUUGCUGAAAUAGCCACCCUUUCAGUGCUAGCCCUUGGGCUGGAAUUUAAGUCCAGGGGUCUGAUCGAGCCAGAAAGUAGGUGUCAGCGUGGCUUCCGGAAGUCCGUUGUCACUUGGAUUUGACAAGGGACAAGCCGACCUGCUGGUUUCUGGGCUCCUGCUCGCUGUGCGCUCUGCGCUGUCUGCAGGGAUUGGUGCCCGCGGAGUGCGCUUUGUCUGGAGAAACUCAGUGCUCGAAGAGUGAGGAGACCGGGAGGAAACCUUCCCCCUGCAAAGCUUAUCUCCCUUCCCUCUCAUCAGAGGCGGGGCCCCGCAAGACACAAGGGAUUUCCCCGCAGAAUGAACCAAGGCCUCCCCAGGACAUGGGGACAGUUCUGCUGUGCAAAGCCUGAAUUCACGUUUCUUUCCUAAAGUGGCUCCCAGUCUCUCUGCAGCCUUGGCCUCUCUUUGAAUCCCAACCCUGACUUCCCUGGUGUCUGUUGGCCACUCCCUUCUGGGAGCCGGCAGGUGAAACCCUGACCUGUGAGCCCGGCCUGGGGCUCUCCAGGCUCUGGGCCCCCUACCCUCCCGAUCUGUGGCCCUCACUCCUCCUGGGCGAGGCUGUUUGUGACGCGGUGUGUCCAAAUGCACACAAGCCGCAAACCAAACUUAAAAAAGCGUAGAGGACACAUUCUCUUCUCCUACCUUAAAAAAUACACCAUGGUAUCUGGAAAGCCAGGUUCCAGUUUAGAAUUCUCAGGCUAGGCCGGGCACAGUGGUUCACGCCUGUAAUCCCAAAACUUCCAAAGCUGACAUGGCAGGAUUGCUUGAGCCCAGGACCUCGAGACCAGCCUGGGCAUUAUAGUGAGACCCUUGUCUCUACAAAAAGUUAAAAAAUUAGCCAGGCAUGGUGGUACAUGCCUGUACCCAGCUACUCCAGAGUCUGAGGUGGGAGGAUUGAUUGCUUGAACCUGGGAGGUGGAGGUUGCUGUGAGCUGUGAUCAUGUCACUGCACUCCAGCCAGGGUGACAGAGUGAGACCGCGUCUCAAUAAAAAUAAAAUAAAAUAAAAUAAAAAAGAAAUCGGUAGA
rnacentral:lncRNA from 1 species